rnacentral:lncRNA from 1 species
CAGGCUACUUUCAGGUCUUAUCCUUCAUCUCACCCCACAUCCCACCCCAGUGCUUGGUCCCAAAUCCUAAUGGGUCUCCACCUUCCAGAGCCCUCAUCCACUGCCAGAACCAAAGAGCGAACACCUUAUAACACGGGGUGGCCACCCUGACCAUCAACACAGAAACGGACCUGAAAGAGCUCCCCAUCUUGGUAUCAACGCUUCGGGGAAAGGAUGUCCGGGUCAGAGGCUGCAGGGGCCGGGCGGGCUAAAGGUGACCCACCGCCCUCUUCCGGGGGCCAGGCUGCUAAGGCGGAAGUGACGUAGGUGGGCUGAAACCAAGGGCCGGAUCCCCGCUGUUGGCUGGGAUCACUUCCGGACUGAGUGGCUCCACUCCUCUCACCCUUGCUGUCCUUUGAGUCCCAGGUCCUGAGGAAGGGCUGGGUCCUCAGUGCCAAACAGCAAUUAAGAAGCUCAGCCAUCAUCACGUGACCCAACGGUGUUGCCCUCUUUCCGCCUCCUGGCCUUUUAUCGACUGCCGUGGGGAAUAAACCGGGAUCUGGAGCUGUGGCUGAUUCCAUCUGGGUUGACGUCAAUGACACAAGCAUGGAACGAGUCCGAAUCCUCAGACAUCAAGCACUUCAUGCUGGGCCCGGUGGCAGACACCUGUGAUCCCUGGUACUCGGGAGGCUGAGGCAGGAGGAUCGCAAGUUCAAAUCCAGCCUGGACCAUUUAGCUCAAAAUAAAAUAAAAAGGGCUGGGGAUGUAGCUCAGUGUGAAGACCCUGGGUUCAAUCCCUGGGACCACAAAAAAAAAAAAAAAAGAAGUAGAAGAAGAAGAAGGUCGCCUUCAUGUUAUCUUGUUCAGCGACGAGCAGGCAAACACCCGCAGCUGGGAGGAGUCAGGAGGGUGGAAGGAACGUGGUCUGGACGCGGUGGCGGGCGGAACACGACACUGGCUGCACGGCAGGCACCGGCGGGGACAGACUCGCCAUGUUCGGGCACGCGGGCUGGGCAUGGAGAUCAGCACAGGCCUGGACGCCCGGCCAGCUCAGGAUGACCUGGAGACCAAAGCCAGAGGCAACGGCACAGGCACCAUCUCGGCUUUGCAGUUUUUCUUCUUGGCAAGUUCAUCAGUACAGAGUCCCAAAACCAGUUCCUCGACUUCUGCGCAGAUCACAUUCCUGGAAAAACACAACCAAGCAGAUUCUGUGAAAAUGGAACAAGAGAUUCUUGUGCUACACAGGACAGUGGCCAGGUCCUGAAAAAAAAAGGACACAUGAAGGGUGACACAAAGCACAAUCCCCUGAAUUCCUUCCCACCUCGCAGGUGUAGGACCUGUAUUUCUACAGCUCUGUAUAUGUUAUUUUUUUAAAAAAAUAAUUGGAUUUAUUUAUGGGAUCUAUUUUUUUAUUACAAAAUAGAUGGAUGCGCUAGGUGUGGUGGUGCACACGCCUGUAAUCCCAGCACUCGGGAGGCUGAGGCAGGAG